GUGCUCACUUUGGCAGCACAUCUACUAAAAUUGAAAAGAAACAGAGAAAAUUAGGAUGGCCCCAUGUAAAGAUGACAUGCAAAUUCGUGAAGCAUUCCAUAUUUUC
rnacentral:snRNA from 1 species